GGGUGGGCUUCCUCCACCUUGGGAGGAAAAAUCAGAUUAAAUGGUUUGCUUGUUGAAGAAACCAUUAAUUUUUGCAUUUACCCCUUAUGCUUUCAUUCUCCCCCCCCCAUUUUUCCUGUAAGUCCUCUCCCCGCUAUUCAUUCUCCAAAAAGAAGGUGUGGAUAUUUUGAAAAGGAAGCCUCUUUCUUAUACUAUGAAUUUUGCCUACAAUGGGCUAAUUCCCAAAGCAGUUGGCCACCUGUGGGAGUAAUUAGUCACUUGUCAGACCUUCUGAGGUUAGUCAAUUGCAGUUGCAGUUUAUUAUACAGUUUUGCAUCCACAAAUAACUAUGGCUGUUAAAACCACCCAUAGAGAAAAAAAAAGACUAGGCAGAAGUUUUACAAAGUUGGGAUAUUGCUUUACAUUUAUAAAUGAAGCUUGGGUAACAUUCAGCUCUAUUCUUUUUAUCCCAACCCAGAAAAAUUAGAGUCUGGGAUGCUGAAGUAAAAGUAUUUUAACGUUAUCUUACUUUAAGGGGUGAGCAGGACACAAGUUCAUGUUACCUUUAUAAUUUUACUUGACAAACUAAAGAUGAAUAUUGAUUGGUUAUAUAAAGAUUUUAGUUUUCUAAAGUGCAAAUGUGUACUAGUAUAAUAUAAAAUGAGCCACUUUAUAUUUAAGGCAAUUAUAUCAAGAACUUUGUUCUCAUGGGUGAGCAGCAGUAUGGAUAGCAGCCACCUUGAUUAGCCAUCCUAGGGUUAAUCUGGUAUACUGUUUAUGAUUCCAUCCAUGGAAGGUAUUUUCCAUUCUACUAAUUAAAUUAAAUGUAUUUAUCAAUGGCUUCUAUUAUCAGUCAUGCUUCUAGGAAGGAAAGAGUCUAUAAAAAGAUGAGCAAAGAUAAUUCAGCAUUAAAACAAAGACUAGCACUUACUGAUAGUGCCCUAUGUAAUAAGCACUGUUUUAAGUAUUCUACGUGAAUUAAUUUAUUUAAUCAUCACAACCUCUUGAGAAAGAGACCUUGCAGAGUUGAGUGGAUUGCAGCUCCUAAACCUCAUUGAAGAUAAUGAAUGCAAAUAAAUACUUGAAGAAACAACAAUCUCUAAUUUCUAUAAGAAAAAUAAUAGACCAAACUACUGUGAAGAGAGACCUGCAGAAUGGGACCUGCUAAUAUUGGAUCUGAAUGGUUUCUAUUUUGCCAGUGGCUGUGUGAGUGUGACUGGAAAAAGGAAGAAGGAAGGAAACAAACAUUUUUGAAUACCUGCUAUGGGCUAGGAAUGUUACCAUGUGGUAAGAGGCUUACAGGUACUAACUAACUCAGUGUUUACAUCAUCAUGUGAGAUAGGGUACCGUUUUAAAAAGUGAUGGGAAUUUGGUCUUCAGAUUUACUCAAAGGACAUCUUAUGGUUACUACUUCUCAGAAACAUUCUCCCCUAAGCUGCUCAGCAGAAACUAAAAAUAUACUUAGUCUCCUGAAGUAUCAGGCCACCUGUAAACCAGUGACAGGGCUCACUAAGUAAACAGGAAAGCCAGCAUCCUCUGCGUCAGAAACCAAACACUCGCACCAGAACCAGUUCUGGGGAGGAUGCUCAGUACAGUGACCUCAGCCUGUACCAGGCUCACCACCAUUAAUCACUCCAUAUAAUUCAAGCCAGAAAUUUAAUGAGCCCAAGGGAUCAGUGACCCCCUGGAGUGGAAGCUGAGAAAGUGAACUAGAGGCAAAAUACAAAACACAAAAGUGGCUCCCAUAAGGUGGCAGUGGCUUCUCAGUUCCCAAGAAAUAAGUGAUUUUAGAUGGACUUUAUCCCUCAUGGAAUCAGAUGGAGUACAAUCAUCUGAAGAGCCAUACCCUCUAUGACUUGAUAUACAUUGAGACUUGGUAACUAAGUUCUACCCAAAGGUGGAUAUCCUCUUUCCUAGAAUUUCUAGAAAUGAGGAUGCACAGGUAUUUUGUGGUUUGUGUCAUGGCUUUUGUAGUUCCAUAAACAUGUAGUCCCCAUUCUCUCCAAUGAAAUGAAGGUGAAACAAUAUUGGGACCUUGCGAUUUCAUGGAAAAGAUGCAUGGAUUGGAAUAGCUUGUACUGAUGGGAGCAAAUCAUGUUAGUCCAGGAGUGAACCCAACUGACUACUCUGCAAGAACUUACCAGGGAAACUUGCUUGUCCCAAUCUGAUAAGGUGAUUAAGAGAAGCUAAGAGAGGCAGUGUGUCCAAGGUCACAGAAAGAGCACAAAAAGGUGCUUCAAGUAUUAUGCUAAGCAAAAUAGCCAUUCAGAGAAAGAGAAAUACCAUAUGAUCUCCUACUAUGUGGAAUCUAAU